GGUUAAGCGACUAAGCGUACACGGUGGAUGCCCUGGCAGUCAGAGGCGAUGAAGGACGUGCUAAUCUGCGAUAAGCGUCGGUAAGGUGAUAUGAACCGUUAUAACCGGCGAUUUCCGAAUGGGGAAACCCAGUGUGAUUCGUCACACUAUCAUUAACUGAAUCCAUAGGUUAAUGAGGCGAACCGGGGGAACUGAAACAUCUAAGUACCCCGAGGAAAAGAAAUCAACCGAGAUUCCCCCAGUAGCGGCGAGCGAACGGGGAGCAGCCCAGAGCCUGAAUCAGUGUGUGUGUUAGUGGAAGCGUCUGGAAAGGCGCGCGAUACAGGGUGACAGCCCCGUACACAAAAAUGCACAUGCUGUGAGCUCGAUGAGUAGGGCGGGACACGUGGUAUCCUGUCUGAAUAUGGGGGGACCAUCCUCCAAGGCUAAAUACUCCUGACUGACCGAUAGUGAACCAGUACCGUGAGGGAAAGGCGAAAAGAACCCCGGCGAGGGGAGUGAAAAAGAACCUGAAACCGUGUACGUACAAGCAGUGGGAGCACGCUUAGGCGUGUGACUGCGUACCUUUUGUAUAAUGGGUCAGCGACUUAUAUUCUGUAGCAAGGUUAACCGAAUAGGGGAGCCGAAGGGAAACCGAGUCUUAACUGGGCGUUAAGUUGCAGGGUAUAGACCCGAAACCCGGUGAUCUAGCCAUGGGCAGGUUGAAGGUUGGGUAACACUAACUGGAGGACCGAACCGACUAAUGUUGAAAAAUUAGCGGAUGACUUGUGGCUGGGGGUGAAAGGCCAAUCAAACCGGGAGAUAGCUGGUUCUCCCCGAAAGCUAUUUAGGUAGCGCCUCGUGAAUUCAUCUCCGGGGGUAGAGCACUGUUUCGGCAAGGGGGUCAUCCCGACUUACCAACCCGAUGCAAACUGCGAAUACCGGAGAAUGUUAUCACGGGAGACACACGGCGGGUGCUAACGUCCGUCGUGAAGAGGGAAACAACCCAGACCGCCAGCUAAGGUCCCAAAGUCAUGGUUAAGUGGGAAACGAUGUGGGAAGGCCCAGACAGCCAGGAUGUUGGCUUAGAAGCAGCCAUCAUUUAAAGAAAGCGUAAUAGCUCACUGGUCGAGUCGGCCUGCGCGGAAGAUGUAACGGGGCUAAACCAUGCACCGAAGCUGCGGCAGCGACGCUUAUGCGUUGUUGGGUAGGGGAGCGUUCUGUAAGCCUGUGAAGGUGUGCUGUGAGGCAUGCUGGAGGUAUCAGAAGUGCGAAUGCUGACAUAAGUAACGAUAAAGCGGGUGAAAGCCCGCUCGCCGGAAGACCAAGGGUUCCUGUCCAACGUUAAUCGGGGCAGGGUGAGUCGACCCCUAAGGCGAGGCCGAAAGGCGUAGUCGAUGGGAAACAGGUUAAUAUUCCUGUACUUGGUGUUACUGCGAAGGGGGGACGGAGAAGGCUAUGUUGUCCGGGCGACGGUUGUCCCGGUUUAAGCGUGUAGGCUGGUUUUCCAGGCAAAUCCGGAAAAUCAAGGCUGAGGCGUGAUGACGAGGCACUACGGUGCUGAAGCAACAAAUGCCCUGCUUCCAGGAAAAGCCUCUAAGCAUCAGGUAACAUCAAAUCGUACCCCAAACCGACACAGGUGGUCAGGUAGAGAAUACCAAGGCGCUUGAGAGAACUCGGGUGAAGGAACUAGGCAAAAUGGUGCCGUAACUUCGGGAGAAGGCACGCUGAUAUGUAGGUGAAGUCCCUCGCGGAUGGAGCUGAAAUCAGUCGAAGAUACCAGCUGGCUGCAACUGUUUAUUAAACACAGCACUGUGCAAACACGAAAGUGGACGUAUACGGUGUGACGCCUGCCCGGUGCCGGAAGGUUAAUUGAUGGGGUCAGCGCAAGCGAAGCUCUUGAUCGAAGCCCCGGUAAACGGCGGCCGUAACUAUAACGGUCCUAAGGUAGCGAAAUUCCUUGUCGGGUAAGUUCCGACCUGCACGAAUGGCGUAAUGAUGGCCAGGCUGUCUCCACCCGAGACUCAGUGAAAUUGAACUCGCUGUGAAGAUGCAGUGUACCCGCGGCAAGACGGAAAGACCCCGUGAACCUUUACUAUAGCUUGACACUGAACAUUGAGCCUUGAUGUGUAGGAUAGGUGGGAGGCUUAGAAGUGUGGACGCCAGUCUGCAUGGAGCCGACCUUGAAAUACCACCCUUUAAUGUUUGAUGUUCUAACGUUGACCCGUAAUCCGGGUUGCGGACAGUGUCUGGUGGGUAGUUUGACUGGGGCGGUCUCCUCCUAAAGAGUAACGGAGGAGCACGAAGGUUGGCUAAUCCUGGUCGGACAUCAGGAGGUUAGUGCAAUGGCAUAAGCCAGCUUGACUGCGAGCGUGACGGCGCGAGCAGGUGCGAAAGCAGGUCAUAGUGAUCCGGUGGUUCUGAAUGGAAGGGCCAUCGCUCAACGGAUAAAAGGUACUCCGGGGAUAACAGGCUGAUACCGCCCAAGAGUUCAUAUCGACGGCGGUGUUUGGCACCUCGAUGUCGGCUCAUCACAUCCUGGGGCUGAAGUAGGUCCCAAGGGUAUGGCUGUUCGCCAUUUAAAGUGGUACGCGAGCUGGGUUUAGAACGUCGUGAGACAGUUCGGUCCCUAUCUGCCGUGGGCGCUGGAGAACUGAGGGGGGCUGCUCCUAGUACGAGAGGACCGGAGUGGACGCAUCACUGGUGUUCGGGUUGUCAUGCCAAUGGCACUGCCCGGUAGCUAAAUGCGGAAGAGAUAAGUGCUGAAAGCAUCUAAGCACGAAACUUGCCCCGAGAUGAGUUCUCCCUGACUCCUUGAGAGUCCUGAAGGAACGUUGAAGACGACGACGUUGAUAGGCCGGGUGUGUAAGCGCAGCGAUGCGUUGAGCUAACCGGUACUAAUGAACCGUGAGGCUUAACCUU
rnacentral:rRNA from 1 species